GACGAACGCUGGCGGCGUGCCUAAUACAUGCAAGUCGAGCGAGACUCUUCGGAGUCUAGCGGCGGACGGGUGAGUAACACGUGGGCAACCUGCCUGUAAGACUGGGAUAACACCGGGAAACCGGUGCUAAUACCGGAUAAUCCUUUUCCUCUCAUGAGGAAAAGCUGAAAGUCGGUUUCGGCUGACACUUACAGAUGGGCCCGCGGCGCAUUAGCUAGUUGGUGAGGUAACGGCUCACCAAGGCAACGAUGCGUAGCCGACCUGAGAGGGUGAUCGGCCACACUGGGACUGAGACACGGCCCAGACUCCUACGGGAGGCAGCAGCAGGGAAUCUUCCACAAUGGACAAAAGUCUGAUGGAGCAACGCCGCGUGAGCGAUGAAGGCCUUCGGGUCGUAAAGCUCUGUUGUUAGGGAAGAACAAGUACCGGAGUAACUGCCGGUACCUUGACGGUACCUAACCAGAAAGCCACGGCUAACUACGUGCCAGCAGCCGCCGUAAAAC
rnacentral:rRNA from 1 species